UCACAUCGAGGUCACGCUGAUGAAAAAGGAACUACAGUACUGUUAUGUCAGUAACAUACAUCACAGUCGUACGUCUCCAGGCUUCUUAUCUUCCUUUGAACCUGACCUGGCUACUGUUUGGUGGAUUAUAGAGGAAAAGCUGUAAUGGGAAAGUAGGUUGGGUGAAGGGAUGAGAAAAAGGAAAGCAUCGUGGAGCACAUUAGCAGGCUUUCUCCAUGAAGAAGCAGGAUGAGUACCUUCUCACUGCCAAAGUAGUUGGAGGGACAUCAAACACCAGUGAUGGGAACACUGAACCUCACAUAAGAAGCACAUGAAGAACAGCAGUGAAACCAAGGAUUCUAGCAAGGCCAGCUAUUAGCAAAGCAGUAAGCAGGAACUGGACUAGAUACCAAAUGAUGGGGAAACAGACUCAUAGACCUAAGAACAUAGGAAGAAGAGAUGUAACAUCAACAGAAAGGCAAAAGGUAAGCUCUCUGUAUUCUUU
rnacentral:lncRNA from 10 species